UGCUUGGCGACCAUAGCGUUGUGGACCCACCUGACUCCAUGCCGAACUCAGCAGUGAAACGCAACAGCGCCGAUGGUAGUGUGGGGCUUCCCCAUGUGAGAGUAGGACAUCGCCAGGCUU
rnacentral:rRNA from 1 species